GGAAUUUCUGCGUUGUGGGCGGGGCGCAGACGGAGGGCACCGUACUCUGGGCACUAGCUUCACUGCCUACUACCCCGAGGUGCCUUAGCUCGUAAGCGUCUGUGGCUCAGGCCCUGUGCGCCUCGCAGGGACCCGCUGCUAGAGACCCCCGUCUCAGCGGCUCUUCUGUAGCUGGGCCUAGACGGUCCACUGCCUCCUUGGGCCUGAAGGGCUCCUCUGCACUUAAACUUUGAUGGAGUAGGAGUCAAAAGGAAUCCACCUCUCCACCUAGACAACAGUUCUACCAGCAGCAACUCUCUGAAGUAACUAUGUUGGAACUCUGGAGUCUAUUCGAAUGCUUACAUCUUCCAAGGGAAAGCUGGGCUGGUAAAUAGAGGUUAAUUUCAGUCUCUGUCAGCUUUAGUGUGAUAGCAGCUACUCAUGCAGUGUUACUUAACCCUGUAGCACGCAGCUGUAUCCACAUUCCUGGUGCGGCUUGCUGGAGGCUGGGUGGGCGAUACGAACUUUGUCCUCCAAAUACUGGCUGUCGACACUCUGGUUGUUGAUGACUGAAGUGCAGGUGCAGAGGCAGGUUGCCACUGUUUUGACCCCCCACCAGCUGAACCUCUUUCCAAGGGUUUUAAAAGAAUAGCACCUGUUUUGUUUGUUAGCUUCCCUUUUACCCCAUUUAUGAGUCAGAUAUUGAAGGAUUAGGAUAUUCAAAAGCAAUCACUUAGGCAGGGGAAAGUAGAAAGCUACUGCAUAUAACCAGGGAAAGACACAGGCUAAGAAAAGACCUGAGAAAACCUUAAGCUUUCACCCGAGGCUGAUCCUGAUCCCCAGCACAGAGACAAUUACAAAAGCCCAGCAAACAUGGGGGCAGGAGAAUCUUAUUUUCAGAUUCACCACAUUAUGAGAUUCAAGUGUUCAAUUUUCAACAACAACAAAUCAUAAGGAUUUAAAGUGAAGCCAAAUGUGGUGGCAUGUGGUUGUAGUCCCACUUAAUUGGUUGUUACUGGGCAACAUAGUGAGACCCCAUCUCUAGUUGAAAAAUAAAAUUUUUUAAAAAAUCACAAGACAUACAAAUAAACAGGAAAGUAUGGUCAAUUCAGAAGAACAAAAUAAAUCAACUCAAACUAUUCCCACAGAAGCCAAGAUAGAUGUCUGAGUUAAUAGACAAAGGCUUUAAAACAACUAUUUUGAAGUCGUUCGAAGAACUAACAGGGCUGGGCAUGGGGUGGCUCACGCCUGUAAUCCCAGCGCUUUGGGAAGCCAAGGUGGGCAGAUCACCUGAGGUCAGGAGUUCGAGACCAGCCUGGCCAACAUGGUGAAACCCUGUCUCUACUAAAUACAAAAAUUAGCUGGGCAUGGUGGCGUACGCCUGUAAUCUCAGCUUUUCAGGAGGCUGAGGGAGGAGAAUGGCUUGAACCUGGGAGGCGGAGGUUGCAGUGAGUUGAGUUCCUGCCACUGCUCUCCAGCCUGGGUGACAGAGUGAGACUCUAUCUCCAAAAAAAAAAAAAACAAACAGAAAAAGGACUAAAGGAAGACAUGAACAAAGUCAGGAAAACAAUGUAUGAAUAAAAUUAGACUAUCAUUAAAGAGAAAUUAUAAAAAGGAGCUGAGGCCAGGUGUGAUGGCUCAUGCCGGUAAUCCCAGCACUUUGGGAGGCCAAGGCUCGUGGAUCAUGAGGUCAGGAGUUCGAGACCAGCCUGGCCAACAUGGUGAAACCUCAUCUCUACUAAAAAUACAAGAACUAGCUGGGCGUGGUGGCAUGCCUGUGUUCCCAGCUACUCAGGAGGGUAAGGCAGGAGAAUCACUUGAACCCAGGAGGUGGAGGUUGCAGUGCACCCAGAUUGCACCACUGCACUCCAGCCUGGGUGACAGAGCAAGACUCUUAGGAAAAAAAGGAGCUGAAAUGAAAUUCUAGACCUGAAAGAUACAGUAACUGAAAUGAAAAAUUUACAUAGAGGGGUUCAAAAACAGAUUUGAAUGAGCAGAAGAAAGAA